rnacentral:rRNA from 1 species
CAGUCGCCGCGGUAAUACGAAGGGGGCUAGCGUUGUUCGGAUUUACUGGGCGUAAAGCGCACGUAGGCGGACUUUUAAGUCAGGGGUGAAAUCCCGGGGCUCAACCCCGGAACUGCCUUUGAUACUGGAAGUCUUGAGUAUGGUAGAGGUGAGUGGAAUUCCGAGUGUAGAGGUGAAAUUCGUAGAUAUUCGGAGGAGCACCAGUGGCGAAGGCGGCUCACUGGACCAUUACUGACGCUGAGGAGCGAAAGCGUGGGGAGCGAACAGGAUUAGAUACCCCGGUAGUCCCUGUCUCUUAUAC